rnacentral:rRNA from 1 species
GAUGAACGCUGGCGGCGUGCUUAACACAUGCAAGUCGAACGAAGCGCUUAAAUGGAUUUCUUCGGAUUGAAGUUUUUGUGACUGAGUGGCGGACGGGUGAGUAACGCGUGGGUAACCUGCCUCAUACAGGGGGAUAACAGUUAGAAAUGACUGCUAAUACCGCAUAUGCCUAAGUAUCACAUGGUACAAUAGGGAAAGGAGAAAUCCGCUGAUAGAUGGGCUUGCGUCUGAUUAGCUAGUUGGUAAGGUAACGGCUUACCAAGGCGACGAUCGGUAGCCGGACUGAGAGGUUGAACGGCCACAUUGGGACUGAGACACGGCCCAG